rnacentral:lncRNA from 1 species
AUAUUGUUCUUGUAUGUAUUGCUGGGUUUAAUUUAAUGCAUGAACAUAACUAGAUACAUAAUGAUAAGUUAUUGGUGGGAUGGAUGUUAUUUAAAUUAUUUGUGUGAACCUGGGCAAGAGAUCAGUGUUGGGGAUACGGAUCAGCAAAUUACUUGUCUACUUGUUACUUGUGGUAUAAACUUAGUUACACAAAAACUGAGUAGUUAACAUUCAUCUUCUUAUUUGAAACUGUCCAAUGGUA